rnacentral:lncRNA from 1 species
CUGUCUCCCCCAGAUUCGUGUUCGACAAACAUGGAGCACCACGUCAAAAUGAAGAAUACAGGAGGCAGUUCCAACAACCUCGACCCAAGACUUUCCAUCCGCCAUCAGAUAUCCCAUAGAAGAAGUGGGUGGAAUCGGUGAACCAGAAGGGGGCAAGAGGCAAAAGUGGAGAGUGCUGGAUUUAGAAAAAGAAACAAUGACGCUAGAAAAUAAGGUCGAGACAAGGGGUUAUGUAG